GAUGAACGCUGGCGGCGUGCCUAAUACAUGCAAGUCGAGCGAACGGACGAGAAGCUUGCUUCUCUGAUGUUAGCGGCGGACGGGUGAGUAACACGUGGAUAACCUACCUAUAAGACUGGGAUAACUUCGGGAAACCGGAGCUAAUACCGGAUAAUAUUUUGAACCGCAUGGUUCAAAAGUGAAAGACGGUCUUGCUGUCACUUAUAGAUGGAUCCGCGCUGCAUUAGCUAGUUGGUAAGGUAACGGCUUACCAAGGCAACGAUGCAUAGCCGACCUGAGAGGGGGAUCGGGCAAACCGGAACUGAGAAACGGGCCAGAAUCCUAAGGGAGGGAGCAGGAGGGAAUCUUCCGCAAUGGGCGAAAGCCUGAAGGAGCAACGCCGCGUGAGUGAUGAAGGUCUUCGGAUCGUAAAACUCUGUUAUUAGGGAAGAACAUAUGUGUAAGUAACUGUGCACAUCUUGACGGUACCUAAUCAGAAAGCCACGGCUAACUACGUG
rnacentral:rRNA from 1 species